UAAGGAAUAUUGGGCAAUGGACGCAAGUCUGACCCAGCCAUGCCGCGUGAAGGAUGACGGCCCUAUGGGUUGUAAACUUCUUUUGUACGGGAAAAAACCUUCGAACGUGUUCGAAGCUGAUGGUACCGUAAGAAUAAGCAUCGGCUAACUCCGUGCCAGCAGCCGCGGUAAUACGGAGGAUGCAAGCGUUAUCCGGAUUCAUUGGGUUUAAAGGGUGCGUAGGCGGGAUAAUAAGUCAGUGGUGAAAGCCUACAGCUUAACUGUAGAACUGCCAUUGAUACUGUUAACCUUGAGUACAAUUGAAGUGGGCGGAAUGUGGCAUGUAGCGGUGAAAUGCUUAGAUAUGACACAGAACACCGAUAGCGAAGGCAGCUCACUAAACUGUAACUGACGCUCAGGCACGAAAGCGUGGGGAUCAAACA
rnacentral:rRNA from 1 species